rnacentral:sRNA from 1 species
GAAAAGGGACUUGCAAAGGACACAGAGCAAGCGGUUUCAGCUGUGCUCUGCUAAUGUAACAGGGAAUGACUCAAAUGGAUGCUAAAAAGCCAAGGAAAUGCGAUUUGACUCCCUUCCUGGUUUUGAGAGCAAUAAAGAAACAAAAGUUUACCUCUGCAAAGGGCCCCACUCUUUCUGAGUUCUACAUGGUUGGAAGUAAACCUUCGGUUCAAGUCCAGAAGCCACCUUCCAAUAUCAAGAACUCCAGAAUGACCCAAGUCUUUCAUAAGAACACCAGUGUUACUUCACUCCCCUUUGUGGACACCAAGAGGAAGAAGAAUAUGGUAAGCUUCCCACACAUUAGUAAGAAAGUCCUGCUGAAGUCAUCCCUGCUGUAUCAGGUGAGUGCAGAUGGACUGGACCCUGAGAAGGCAGGUGAAAGACCUGGUUUUAGUCCAAAG